rnacentral:rRNA from 1 species
UACGGAGGAUGCAAGCGUUAUCCGGAAUGAUUGGGCGUAAAGGGCGCGUAGGCGGCCACAUAAGUCUGGGGUGAAAGGUUCACGGCUCAACCGGAACAGUGCCUUGGAAACUAUGUGGCUUGAGUGUGGCAGAGGAGCAUGGAAUUCCUGGUGUAGCGGUGAAAUGCGUAGAUAUCAGGAGGAACACCGGUGGCGAAGGCGGUGCUCUGGGCUAACACUGACGCUGAGGUGCGAAAGCUGGGGGAGCGAACGGG